rnacentral:sRNA from 1 species
CCAUUGCUGAAGAGAGAGACAAAAGACUGGCGGCCAAACAGAGCAGUGGGUGAAAUGGGUCCCUGGGUGACAUGUCAGAUCUUUGAGUCUGUGAGCCACUUCACUACAAGAACUUGGAGUCCUCGCCUUUGCAUUCCCGGUGCCGGGCAAAGUGCCCACCUCCAAAGGUGCCCAGUAAAUAUCGAAUGAAAUGCCUUCAUAUGAUCCGUCCAGAAGAACGUUGGAGUUUCCAGAACCAAAUUAGGAGGACUGAGCCUUCUUCAGUCCCUAAUUCAGGAGCACCACCUCUCUGCUUUCCCCCACCUCUCCCUGAAACCCCAGCCUUGCCGUGGCUGUUUGUUGUGCCCGGCC